rnacentral:rRNA from 1 species
GAUGAACGCUGGCGGCGUGCCUAACACAUGCAAGUCGAACGGAGAUUUAACGCUGAUGAGGCUUCGGCGGAUUCUUGUUAAAUCUUAGUGGCGGACGGGUGAGUAACGCGUGGGCAACCUGCCUCGUACUGGGGGAUAACAGUUGGAAACGACUGUUAAUACCGCAUAAGCGCACGGUACCGCAUGGUACAGUGUGAAAAACUCCGGUGGUACGAGAUGGGCCCGCGUCAGAUUAGCCAGUUGGUGGGGUAACGGCCUACCAAAGCAACGAUCUGUAGCCGGACUGAGAGGUCGGACGGCCACAUUGGGACUGAGACACGGCCCAAACUCCUACGGGAGGCAGCAGUGGGGGAUAUUGCACAAUGGGCGAAAGCCUGAUGCAGCGACGCCGCGUGAGUGAAGAAGUAUUUCGGUAUGUAAAGCUCUAUCAGCAGGGAAGAAAGACUCGUAAGAGAGAUGACGUAC